AUUGAACGCUGGCGGCAGGCCUAACACAUGCAAGUCGAGCGGAGGAAGGUAGCUUGUUCCUGGAUUCAGCGGCGGACGGGAGAGUAAUGCCUAGGAAUCUGCCUGGUAGUGGGGGAUAACGUCCGGAAAUGGGCGCUAAUAUCGCAUACGUUCUGAGCGAGAGCGUGGUGGUUCCUCGGACCACACGCUACCAUAUGUGCCUGUGUCGGAUUAGCUAGUCGGUGGGGUAAAGGCCUACCAAGGCGACGAUCCGUAACUGGUCUGAGAGGAUGAUCAGUCACACUGGAACUGAGACACGGACCAGAGUCCUACGGGAGGCAGCAGUGGGGAAUAUUGGGCAAUGGGCGAAAGCCUGAUCCAGCCAUGCCGCGUGUGUGAAGAAGGUCUUCGGAUUGUAAAGCACUUUUAGUUGGGAGGAAGGGCAGUAAGUUAAUACCUUGCUGUUUUGACGUUACCAACAGAAUAAGCACGGGCUAACUUCGUG
rnacentral:rRNA from 1 species